rnacentral:rRNA from 1 species
UGACCUCGGUUUGGACUUGAUUACCCGCUGU